rnacentral:tRNA from 1 species
GCCCCUGUAGCCUAAUGGAUAAGGCUUUUCCUUCGCAGGGAUUGUAUACGGGUUCGAGUCCUGUCAGGGGCA